GUCAGGGAAUUACGAGCAAAGCUUAAAACCCAAAGGACUUGACGGUACCCCAUAUCCCCCUAGAGGAGCCUGUCCUAUAAUCGAUAAUCCCCGUUUAACCUCACCACAUCUAGCUUUUUCAGUUUGUAUACUUCCGUCGCAAGCCUACCGCAUGAACGAAGCUUAGUUAGCUCAAUGUCAACACAUAUGCUAAAUUCAACAAUACGUCAGGUCAAAGUGCAGCAAACGAUGUGGGAUGAGAUUGGCUACACUUUUUAACUUAGAAGAAACAGAAAACAAUAAUGAAACUUUGUCAGAAGGUGGAUUUAGCAGUAAAAGAAAAAUAUAAAAUUUCUUUUAACUCGGCACUGGGGUGUGU
rnacentral:rRNA from 1 species